CAUUGUAUAGCUAUCCCAGCAUUAACCUUUUAAGUUAAAGACGGGGGAAUACACCCCCUACAGUGA
ensembl:Mt_tRNA